rnacentral:rRNA from 1 species
AACCUCGGGCGAAGAUAAGACGGAUUAGCGGCGGACGGGUGAGUAACACGUGAGUAACCUGCCUUUACACAGGGAUAGCCUCGGGAAACCGGGAUUAAAACCUGGUGAAACUAUCAAAUCACAUGAUUAAGAAAGUUAAAACUCCGGUGGUAAAAGAUGGACUCGCGUCCCAUUAGCUAGUUGGUGAAGGUAACGGCCCACCAAGGCAACGAUGGGUAGCCGGCCUGAGAGGGUGAACGGCCACAUUGGAACUGAGAAACGGUCCAAACUCCUACGGGAGGCAGCAGGC